CCUACGGGAGGCUGCAGUGGGGAAUAUUGGACAAUGGGGGGAACCCUGAUCCAGCCAUGCCGCGUGUGUGAAGAAGGCCCUCGGGUUGUAAAGCACUUUCAGUGAGGAAGAACGCCUGGUGGUUAAUACCCAUCAGGAAAGACAUCACUCACAGAAGAAGCACCGGCUAACUCCGUGCCAGCAGCCGCGGUAAUACGGAGGGUGCGAGCGUUAAUCGGAAUUACUGGGCGUAAAGCGCGCGUAGGUGGCUUGAUAAGCCGGUUGUGAAAGCCCCGGGCUCAACCUGGGAACGGCAUCCGGAACUGUCAAGCUAGAGUGCAGAAGAGGGAGGUAGAAUUCCAGGUGUAGCGGUGAAAUGCGUAGAGAUCGGGAGGAAUACCAGUGGCGAAGGCGGCCUUCUGGACUGACACUGACACUGAGGUGCGAAAGCGUGGGUAGCAAACAGGAUUAGAUACCCUGGUAGUC
rnacentral:rRNA from 1 species